rnacentral:rRNA from 1 species
AGGACGAACGCUGGCGGCGUGCUUAACACAUGCAAGUCAAGGGGGCCCAGCAAUGGGCAACCGGCGAACGGGUGCGUAACACGUGAGCAACCUACCGAAAUGUGGGGGAUAGCCGGCCUAACGGCCGAGUAAUACCGCAUACGCUCUCGAUGAGGCAUUUCAUUGAGAGGAAACCUACGGGACAUUUCGAGGGGCUCGCGGCCUAUCAGCUAGUUGGCGAGGUAACGGCUCACCAAGGCAACGACGGGUAGCUGGUACUGAGAGGAUGGCCAGCCACAGUUGGGACUGAGAUACGGCCCAGACUCCGUACGGGAGCAGCAGGUCGGGGAAUCUUGCGACAAUGGACCUAACGGCUAGACGCAGCGACGCGCGUGUAGAUGAAGCUCUUCGGGAGUAGUAAACUACGUUGUUCGCCCGGG